CAGUAGCCGCGGGAAAACGAAGGGGGCUAGCGUUGUUCGGAUUUACUGGGCGUAAAGGGCGCGUAGGCGGACUGAUAAGUCAGGGGUGAAAUCCCAAGGCUCAACCUUGGAACUGCCUUUGAUACUGUUUGUCUUGAGUUCGAGAGAGGUAAGUGGAACUGCGAGUGUAGAGGUGAAAUUCGUAGAUAUUCGCAAGAACACCAGUGGCGAAGGCGGCUUACUGGCUCGAAACUGACGCUGAGGCGCGAAAGCGUGGGGAGCAAACAGGAUUAGAUACCCCAGUAGUCCCUGUCUCUUAUAC
rnacentral:rRNA from 1 species